rnacentral:lncRNA from 13 species
AAUACGUCAAUAAAUGCUGAAAACAAGCAAUAACUCUGAUGAGCUUCACACAAGACAAGAGUCCACACAUGUUAGCUGGUGCCGCUAACUAAGUCACUAAUGCCGGUUGCUUUUGCGAUGUAGACACACAUUUGGCAUUCACCUGUUAGCGUUUAAAACUCAGCUAAACAAUGUCAAUUAAUAGUUAAUCGGCUAACGACACUGUUCCAUGUUUUAAAAUACACUCUUCUUCCAAACGGAGAAGUGCUGUGUGGUUUGAGAUUAAUGUAUCCGUUCUCGUCGCCAAUUUUUCCACCUGUUUGCCAAACAACUCUCUGUCUCAGCACCGUGGUCUAUUCCGACGACUCUGUUCGCGAGCUCUCAACAUAAGGAUAACAAAAAGAAACCAGGGGAUAACCUCAUGCCCGCCCCUUCCGGUGGGGAAGGUCGGUAGCAAAUCUUGAGCAAAGUUUCACUGCAUUAACAUUGCAGAAAGAAACGUGAUUUUUGUCUUCGAAAACAGUCAUAUCAUGCAUGAUCUGUCACUUGAAAGAAAUGAAAUGUUUAUCUUACGUGAAAUACAUUAUAUUUAAAAGUGCAACGUUGAAGAACAUUGAAGAAAGAAAGGCCGACAGACUCCCGGGCCAUAAUGUGUUGACAUAUUUGAAGGAACAUAUUUGAAGGAACUUGUGGAAGCAAUGACGGAAGCUUGUCUCUUCAGGUCUGCAAACAACAUGGGUUGGGACAAGUAGCUCUACUUUCUUUAACAUAAACUCAGAAAAAAAGAAACGUCCCUUUUUCAGGAUCCUGUCUUCAUAAAAACCCAAAUAACUUCACAGAUCUUCAUUGUAAAGGGUUUAAACACUGUUUCCCAUGCUUGUUCAAUGAACCAUAAACAAUUAAUGAACAUGCACCUGUGGAACGGUCGGUAAGACACUAACAGCUUACAGACAGUAGGCAAUUAAGGUCACAGUUAUAAAAAGUUAAGACACUAAAGAAGCCUUUCUACUGACUC